AUUGAACGCUGGCGGCAGGCUUAACACAUGCAAGUCGAGCGAGUGGCGGACGGGUGAGUAAUGCCUGGGAAAGUGCCGGAUGGAGGGGGAUAACUAUUGGAAACGGUAGCUAAUACCGCAUAUUAUUAGAUGUGCCCAGGUGGGAUUAGCUAGUGGGGGGGGUAAAGGCCCACCAAGGCGACGAUCAGUAGCGGGUCUGAGAGGAUGACCCGCCACACUGGGACUGAGACACGGUCCAGACUCCUACGGGAGGCAGCAGUGGGGAAUUUUGGACAAUGGGCGCAAGCCUGAUGCAGCCAUGCCGCGUGUCUGAAGAAGGCCUUCGGGUUGUAAAACACUGUUGUCAGGGAAGCGGUACCUACCCAGAAAGCAACGGCUAACUACGUGCCAGCAGCCGCGGUAAUAC
rnacentral:rRNA from 1 species